rnacentral:rRNA from 1 species
AUGAUACUAUUACACCUUACAUAUUUGAUAAUGAGUAUUUUCAGAGUAGAGUGGUUCUUUGUGUCCGCCAUCUCCACCCCAUCUUCUAUUGCACUAAUUUCAGCUCAGCGUCUCUUGGUGUUGUGUUCCAUGUUUUUCGAAAUUCCAGCAAUGAUCCUCUUUUGUCUAGUACCGGGCAAUGACCUACAAAUAGUGUUGGGAUGGAUGGCCAAAUGGCACCUCCCUUUUCUGGAAAAUGGUGAUUGGGGAAGCCACACCAUGUACCAUGAGUGGACCUCUUUGGUUUGCAGGAAAGAAGCACAUGAAUAG